UUAUUUCUAAUUACGACUGGAGCGCCCAGAGGUUUUAACCUCCGAAAAUUGUAAUAGUGAAUGGAUUUUUGUUUUUGAGGUGUCAUUUUCUUUUUUACACUAUAACUUGCAAAGUUUACCAAAAAAUUAUUUGUGCUUUUAAUUUUUUAGUUACUUAAUUAAAAAUUAAUAUUUCACCAUAU